CGUACGUAAUUACUCUUCAAAAUGGGGAAGGAUCGGACGAAAAUGUAAACAAACCGUAGAUGCAAUCUUUUGAAAGAAAAGCUCAGUCAUCUGAGAUGCAGUGUUGCAGCACUGAAAAGCAUUGGGUGCCCAUCAUAGAGUGUUUCUCUUUGCCUGCAAUCAGGAUACAUCAACUGACCUUUGAACUGUGUUUUCCAACUUGGGAUUCAAACACAUGCCCUCUUGGGUAGGAGAAAGUC